GACGAACGCUGGCGGCGUGCUUAACACAUGCAAGUCGAACGGAAAGGCCCUGCUUUUGUGGGGUGCUCGAGUGGCGAACGGGUGAGUAACACGUGAGUAACCUGCCCUUGACUUUGGGAUAACUUCAGGAAACUGGGGCUAAUACCGGAUAGGAGCUCCUGCUGCAUGGUGGGGGUUGGAAAGUUUCGGCGGUUGGGGAUGGACUCGCGGCUUAUCAGCUUGUUGGUGGGGUAGUGGCUUACCAAGGCUUUGACGGGUAGCCGGCCUGAGCGGGUGACCGGCCACAUUGGGACUGAGUUACGGCCCAGACUCCUACGGGAGGCAGCAGUGGGGUAUAUUGCACAAUGGGCGGAAGCCUGAUGCAGCAACGCCGCGUGCGGGAUGACGGCCUUCGGGUUGUAAACCGCUUUCGCCUGUGACGAAGCGUGAGUGACGGUAAUGGGUAAAGAAGCACCGGCUAACUACGUG
rnacentral:rRNA from 1 species